GACGAACGCUGGCGGCGUGCCUAAUACAUGCAAGUCGAGCGAAGUUUUUCUGGUGCUUGCACUAGAAAAACUUAGCGGCGAACGGGUGAGUAACACGUAAAGAACCUGCCUCAUAGACUGGGACAACUAUUGGAAACGAUAGCUAAUACCGGAUAACAGUAUUUCUCGCAUGAGAGAUAUUUAAAAGUUGGUUAUGCUAACACUAUGAGAUGGCUUUGCGGUGCAUUAGCUAGUUGGUGGGGUAAAGGCCCACCAAGGCGACGAUGCAUAGCCGACCUGAGAGGGUGAUCGGCAACACUGGGACUGAGACACGGCCCAGACUCCUACGGGAGGCAGCAGUAGGGAAUCUUCCGCAAUGGGCGAAAGCCUGACGGAGCAACGCCGCGUGAGUGAAGAAGGAUUUCGAUUCGUAAAGCUCAGUUGUUAGGGAAGAAUGGAUAUGUAGUAACUAUACAGGUAAGAGACGGGACCUAACCAGAAAGCCACGGCUAACUACGUG
rnacentral:rRNA from 1 species